rnacentral:rRNA from 1 species
AAACUUUCAACACACGGAUCUCUUGGUUCUGGCAUCGAUGAGAGAACGGCAGCGAAAUGCGAUAAGUAAUGUGAAUUGCGAGAAUUCAGUGAUCAUCCGAUCUUUGAACGGACAUGGGCCCCCUGGUAUCUGCGGGGCGCUCGCCUGUGCGAGCGUCAUU